UACGGGGGGAGCAAGCGUUGUUCGGAUUUACUGGGCGUAAAGGGCGCGUAGGCGGCGCAACAAGUCACUUGUGAAAUCUCCGGGCUUAACCCGGAGCGGCCAAGUGAUACUGUCGUGCUAGAGUGCGGAAGGGGCUACUGGAAUUCUCGGUGUAGCGGUGAAAUGCGCAGAUAUCAGGAGGAACACCGGUGGCGAAGGCGGGAUCUCUGGGCCACUGACUGACGCUGAGAAGCGAAAGCAUGGGGAGCGAACGGG
rnacentral:rRNA from 1 species